AGCGAACGCUGGCGGCGUGCCUAACACAUGCAAGUCGAACGUGAAAAGGGAAACCUGAGUAAAGUGGCGUACGGGUGGGUAACGCGUAGGUAAUCUACCCCAGAAUCUGGAAUAACCUGCCGAAAGGCGGGCUAAUACUGGAUAGAGCGAGGGAACUCGUAAGAGAGUUUUUCGGGAAAGGGAGCCCGCAAGGGCCUUCGUUCUGGGAUGAGCCUGCGUCUCAUUAGCUAGUUGGUAAGGUAACGGCUUACCAAGGCGAUGAUGAGUAGCUGGUCUGAGAGGAUGAUCAGCCACACUGGAACUGAAACACGGUCCAGACUCCUACGGGAGGCAGCAGUGGGGAAUCUUGCGCAAUGGACGAAAGUCUGACGCAGCCACGCCGCGUGAGUGAAGAAGGCCUUCGGGUUGUAAAGCUCUGUCGGAUGGGACGAACAUCUUCAUAGUGAAUAGCUAUGAGGACUGACGGUACCAUCAAAGGAAGCACCGGCUAACUCCGUG
rnacentral:rRNA from 1 species